UCUCCGUUGGUGAACCAGCGGAGGGAUCAUUACCGAGUUUACAACUCCCAAACCCAAAUGUGAACAUACCAAACUGUUGCUUCGGCGGACUCGCCCCAGCGUCCGGACCGGCCUCGCGCCGGCCCGCGGCCUGGAUCCAGGCGGCCGCCGGGGAAAACCAAAAACUCUUUGUAUCUUUGUAUAUCUUCUGAGUAAGCCGCAAGGCAAAAACAAAUGAAUCAAAACUUUCAACAACGGAUCUCUUGGUUCUG
rnacentral:misc_RNA from 1 species